AAUUCUUUCAAAGUGCAUACCUGAGUUCUAAAUCUUUUUAAGUUGUUUGUUUAAGGUCCUAAUCUUGUCUCAUCCUCGCUGACUAUUUUGCGUGGCACUUUGACUAGGGCCACGUCGAUACCAAGGCCCAGGCGGGAGUUUUCUCGAGGCUGGUAGUUGGAGAUUUAUCCACUUCGGCGCCAUGUCUGCCGCCACUAGCUCCUCUGCGGUCAAGCGCCACGCGAGAAAGUUGUUUGCUCCAUCCAUGGCCUUGGCCGCGCAACCGCCGUCGGGAUGCUGUCGUUGGUAUUGUGCCCUUGCUGCAGAUUCCGGUCAACCAUCUGCCUAGUUUCUAAAUACGAUGCAAAUAUUGAAGGGUUUUGUACAAAUACCCUAAUCACCGUGUAAGAUUCAUGUUUGUCCUUUAUUUUUUUGCAUAUGGAAUGCAUUCCUCUGUUUCUCAUCUAAUUGAUUUUGGGCGAUAAGUUGAACCAAAUCCUUGCCAGCACUACUACUAGGAAGAUGGGUCAGAUGACUACAUGGAUUUCUUGGUCGGGAAUGGGCACAUUACUCCUGUAAUUGGCAGUGCUUAUUCAAUGAUGUCAAUGGUAACGAAUAAACAAAUGGGAAAGAAGAGUGUGCGGCAAUGAAGUAGAACAGUACUGGUUGUGUGGUGAUGGCACAUGUAAUGAAGAAGAUGGAUGGGCUGAUAUUUCUUUGUAGGAGUAUUUUCAAUGCACAAGUGUUCAUGAUUGCUAUCAUGGUGUUUAUAGUUCUUAAGAAAUGAGAAUGCAGUUAUGUAGUUGGUUAGAAAUGAGAAAUCAAUGCUGGUUUGAUAUAUGCCAGGGAUGUAUGACAAGUAUUUUAGUAAUGGAAAUCAAUGAAAUGUCAGCAGUGCA